AUCCCAGGGUGUUCAUCCGAACCCCCUCAGUCAAAAAAUUACACUGUUUAUAUAAGGCCAAAUUUUUAUUUUAUGUGUAUAUAUUUAAUAUUGAACCCCCUCAAAACAAAUGAAAGGCGCAGCUCAGUGGCGUAGGGGGUUCAGAGUUGCCCGUUACACGCGGGUUCGAACCCCAGCAGCCGCGCUUGCAAUAUUUUCCUGAACAUUUUAUUUCAGCUGUUUCAUUAAACAAAACGACGUAGUUUAGUAACGUUAUAUUACUUAAAAUAAAUGGACAAAACGAUAAAUAUUGAACAAACCAAAUGUUUUCUUUCUCUUCUCUUCUGUCACCUCACCUAACACCUUUCUUUUUUUUUUUUUUUUUUUUGCUCAGUUUUUUUUUGCUGAUUUGUUUGCCUCCGCCACUGCUCUCUGGUCUCCGUUCAUGGCUUCUUCGAUAUAGAAGCUCUCCCGAACCAUUUACGGAGGAAGUAUGCCUUACUGCGUGAUUUAGAUAAAAGUCUGCAAGGUUUUGUUAUGACGUUAUUCCCAUCAAAGGCAUACUGAUGGAAGAUCCUGCCACAAUGUAACCAAAGACGAUCAGAAAUAGAAAGGUUUAAACCUUUUAUUCUUUGGAUUGACUUAUAUAUGUUGAUAGUAUAAAGAAUUCUUACACUAUCACUCUAUCAGUAUAAUUUAACAUGAUGUAUUAUUAAAUUAAUAAGAGUAACAUACUUACUCUUUA